AACGAACGCUGGCGGCAGGCUUAACACAUGCAAGUCGAGCGCCCCGCAAGGGGAGCGGCAGACGGGUGAGUAACGCGUGGGAACGUACCUUUUGGUUCGGAACAACUCCGGGAAACUGGAGCUAAUACCGGAUAAGCCCUAACGGGGAAAGAUUUAUCGCCGAAAGAUCGGCCCGCGUCUGAUUAGCUAGUUGGUGAGGUAACGGCUCACCAAGGCGACGAUCAGUAGCUGGUCUGAGAGGAUGAUCAGCCACACUGGGACUGAGACACGGCCCAGACUCCUACGGGAGGCAGCAGUGGGGAAUAUUGGACAAUGGGCGCAAGCCUGAUCCAGCCAUGCCGCGUGAGUGAUGAGGGCCUUAGGGUUGUAAAGCUCUUUUGUCCGGGAAGAUAAUGACUGUACCGGAAGAAUAAGCCCCGGCUAACUUCGUG
rnacentral:rRNA from 1 species